AUUGAACGCUGGCGGCAGGCCUAACACAUGCAAGUCGAACGAAUGGCGGACGGGUGAGUAAUGUCUUGGAAACUGCCUGAUGGUGGGGGAUAACUACUGGAAACGGUAGCUAAUACCGCAUACCAUCGGAUGUGCCCACAUGGGAUUAGCUAGUAGGUGGGGGAAAGGCUCACCUAGGCGACGAACCCUAGCUGGUCUGACAGGAUGACCAGCCACACGUGAACUGAGACACGGUCCAGACUACUACGGGAGGCAGACGUGGGGAAUAUUGCACAAUGGGCGAAAGCCUGAUGCAGCCAUGCCGCGUGUAUGAAGAAGGCCUUCGGGUUGUAAAGUACUUUCAGCGGGGAGGCGUUACCCGCAGAAGAAGCACCGGCUAACUCCGUGCCAGCAGCCGCGGUAAUAC
rnacentral:rRNA from 1 species